CAGCAUCAAAGCACCACCCAACCGACGGCCUCAUAGCGUCCAUAGGCCUCCCAGCAUCAAAAUGCCAUCUGAUCGGCAAGAUCCCGACAUCCUUAAGCUUUCUGAUGUCAAAGCGAUGUCCGAUCGGCAAGAUCUCGGCAUCUCUGAGCUUUUCGAUGUCAAAGCACCGUCUGAUCGACAAGUUCCCCAGUAUUUUUGUAUGCCUUCCAGAAUCAAAACCGAUGGAUCGACAGUCAUCCAAGUUUGCCACACGCAUGCAUGCCCAACUCCAAACACCCUAAGAGCC
rnacentral:lncRNA from 1 species